rnacentral:rRNA from 1 species
UAAGCGGAGGAAAAGAAACUAACAAGGAUUCCCCUAGUAACGGCGAGUGAAGCGGGAAGAGCUCAAAUUUGAAAUCUGGCAGUCUUCGAUUGUCCGAGUUGUAAUCUAUAGAGGCGUUUUCCGUGCCGGACCGUGUCCAAGUCUCCUGGAAAGGAGUAUCAAAGAGGGUGAUAAUCCCGUACUUAACACGACCACCGGUGCUCUGUGAUACGUCUUCUACGAGUCGAGUUGUUUGGGAAUGCAGCUCAAAAUGGGUGGUGAAUUCCAUCUAAAGCUAAAUAUUGGCGAGAGACCGAUAGCGAACAAGUACCGUGAGGGAAAGAUGAAAAGCACUUUGGAAAGAGAGUUAAACAGUACGUGAAAUUGUUGAAAGGGAAACGAUUGAAGUCAGUCGUGUUCUUUGGAUUCAGCCAGUUCUGCUGGUCUACUUCCUUUGAACGGGUCAACAUCAGUUUUGUCCGGUGGAUAAAGGCAGUAGGAAUGUAGCUUCUCCGGAAGUGUUAUAGCCUAUUGUCACAUACACUGGGUGAGACUGAGGACUGCAGCUCGCCUUUAUGGCCGACCUUCGGGUACGUUCGAGCUUAGGAUGUUGACAUAAUGGCUUUAAACGACCCGUCUUGAAACACG